rnacentral:lncRNA from 1 species
CGCAACCAAGCUUCGCGCACAGAAUCCUCGAUCGGACACGUAGUUAAGCCUUUCAGCACUCGAUGUUUCGGAAUUCGCGACUAAGCACAUCGAGCGUCGACUCCUCGGGCCCGCGGCUAGGCAUUUCGCGCAUCGGCACUUGGGACUGUGCGACUAAGCACAUCGAGCAUCGACUCCUCGGUCCCGCGGCUAGGCAUUUCGCGCAUCGGAAUG